CGUUCAGUCGCUAUCGGAACUUGGCGCUGUCAAGUUUGUUCGUCCGACGCGGUCGCAUUUCGCUCGUUGACUUGCGGAAAUACUUACGGCCAUAAAAAGAAAGAGAUUUUCACAUAACAAGGAGAAAACAUCAAGCUAUUAAAAAGUAAAAACAAACUACGCAAUUAUUGAAUUUACAUACAAUACAAAGGCCAGGACUAUUCCCCGUUGAGCCAUUGAGUUUAAGUUGAUGAAUGUGCCAGGACUCCACCGGCGGGCCGUUUGAAUUGGAUUCAUCCAGCUUUGAGAU